GACGCUGUGGAGGGCAUCCGCGGGUCGAGCGACCAGCGGCGCAUAUGGCCGGCGGGGCAAGCGGCCGGUUGCGCAGACGGCCAGCAAUAGGGCAGCAGGGACGACGGGGCGAACACGCUGGCUAUCAGCCCCUCCUCUCUGAUCUAAAAAUCCAAGUAGCUCAUCUCCUCCACGCCAUCUCCCUCGUCUCUCUCCUGCACUCCCUCUUCUGAUUUCUUUAUCGACCCCCUCCCUUGAUUUCUUCAUCGCAAGAACCAGCAGCUCACUCUUCCUUUUGCUCAUCUGAUUUCUUCAAGAAAAUCACCACCGCAUCCCCUCAGCUCUAGCAUCUCGCCCCAGACAACAGGCAGGCGCCGGCCAGCUGCGCGUCCCCCCUCCCCUCGCCACGGUAGAGCGCCGGCGACCCCGUCCGGCCGCUCGGCCGCGCAGCGCCGUCCCUUUCCCAGCGCCCCAUCUCCGCUCAUUCGACGGCCAAGCGUGGCCGCUCCCGGCCAGACGGCGACCGGGCGGGCAUCGCCAGCGCUCCACCCCUUCAGGGGCGGCCUUCCCCGCCGAUGCCUCCUCAACUAGCAGCUCGCUUCCCAGAAUCCCCUGGACGAAACAGCCGCCGGCCACCCUGCUCCUCCUGCAGGGGGGUGCGCUGUGCUGUGGCUCAGCCGCGUACGCCGUGCUGUGGCUCAGCUAGCGCGGCUGCCCGCACUCCCUACGCCAAGGCCAAUACAAGGCCGCCCUGCAGUGGCGCCAAAAAGCCAGGGCUGUCUGCUCGGGACGACGCCCAAGAUGCUGGCCACAAGCACAGAGUAACGAUCUGCAAACUGAAGCCAAGCUGCUGCCUCCCUCGUCUGCAACUUGUUCGACGAAAUGCCCCAACCAUACCGCUGUCUCUUGGCGAUGUCCUGACAAGCCAAACCGCGACCCACCGUCAUGCUGUCCCCGCACACCAGUUGCGCCAUCCCUAGCCGCACCACUUUAUCCUGAAUAGACAGUGUUUAACACCAAGUUGUUCGUUAAAAAAAAAGUAUUUAACACCAAGUUCUAUUUCGAAAAGUCAUUUGCUAACAUAUUAUGUACUGUACUGAUCAUGUACAAAUAUGACACAGGCGCUGCGACAUCCAAGUGAUCCCAACACCCACCUGAGAGCGGAGAAGAAAAAGAAAAAAAGAUGGGCAUCAACUUUAUUUCGGAUCUACGGCCAGGUUUAUGCAGUAACACUAAUGUGUUAGAGUCUCAAGACUAUGGGAAUAUAGAGGAAAGAACGAUGAAGAUCAGAUCAAACAUCUAGAUAUGGUGCUUAUCAACGAAAAGGGUGAUUCCAUAUAUGCUGAAAUACCAGAUGAUAUUCUCUCAAAGUUUCAACCUAUUCUGCAUGAGGGACAAAUUAUCUCCAUAAGAAGGAUAUCAGUAGAUAGAGCAAAGACAAUAUAUAGAGCUGUUGACAAUCCCUUGAUGAUCAGGCUAAACCAGUACACAGAAAUUACAGAACCAAAAGACCCAGCACCUGAUUUUCCAAAAUAUACAUUCUCAUUGACACCAAUAUCGGAGUUAAAUCAAUACAUUGGGAACCAAGGUACAUUCCUAGAUGUCAUGUCAUAGGAAAGAUUACAGCUGUUUCAAAUGCGGCAACAAUGGAGACAAGUUCAGGCAGUAUUAAGCUAAGAAGGAUAAUCCAUUUGGUGGAUCACACUGGAAACAUGAUCGAAUUAUCAUUGUUUGGACCAAGAGCACAGGAAUUUGAUGGGGACACAGUAUAUGAAGUUGGACAAAACUCUCACGUUAUAGCAAUAUUUGUUGGAACUUCUAUGAAGCAGUACAAGGGGUCACCUCCUUUCUUAAGUGGAACAGCUGCAUGCAGAUGGUAUAUAAUGAAAAUGAUGUCACUGAAAUCAGAGAUUUCUACAAAUGCUUACCCAUCCAAGCACAGCCAGUUAAAAAACUGCAUCUCAAAAAUCAUGAAGAAAUCCAGAAACAAAGAGUUUGUUAGAGCUAAGAGAAAUCAAUCCAUUUGAUCAUGCUGUACACAAAAAAAACUAAGAUAUUUGGUCAAUUUUUACAUUACAUUUGUUUUCCUAUUCUCUUACACAAAAAUGUUAUUUACAGGGCAUAAAGUUUGAGUGCACUGCAGUAAUAAUUCAAGUAGCCCAAAACCAAUAUUGGUGCUAUCCAGCCUGCACAGCUUGUGGCUCAAGAUCAAUUUUUGAUGGAGGAAAAUAUCAUUGUUCCAAGGAUGGUUGCUUAUGCACAACUAUUGAGCAUAGGUACAAAGUUUGUCUUAUAGCAAGCGAUACAACAUGGCAGCUGCGAUUCAUGCUAUUCCAAGAUCGAGCAAUGCAGCUGAUUGGUAAACCUGCAGAAAAGUUGCUCACUACUUAUAGGAAAAGCAACACUCCACCAGAAAUUUCAGCACUUAUUGGUCAGAAAUUCACUUUUAUUGUUCGAGUACUCCCGGAGAAGAAACUUAUUGCUCAUGAUCCAAUGUUUGAAGUACUGAAUAUAAAGAAAACCUUUGGAAAGCAGUUGCAUAUCCCAAAUGUUAAAAUAGAGAGACAACCAGCUUCUUCUACCACCUCAACUUCUGAGAAACAAAACCUUCCACCUCUGGUACCUAUUUGUCCCAAGCCAUGGCAAAACAAGCAGUCAGCAGAAUUACAAUAUUGAUGACUGGGAAACUGAACUGAGUGGAAUAUUACAAGACAAGACCACAAGAAAAGCACUGCAUAUAAAGAAUGAAGAACAGCUUGAAGACACACAUGAAAAGGAUGAUCUCAAUCAGAAAGCCAAAAGGCCACAUACAUAGAUCAAAGCCGGUUACAGAGUUCACAGGAUCAGGCAACAUCUUUGUCACCCUCUUUUGGAUGUGUAUCUACAUAGACACAUCAGCUGCAACCUUAGUUUAUAAAUGCUAUGCUAUAAUGCCAAAUCUAGGUGUUUCAGUGAAUGCACUGUAUUUUGUUCUACGUAUAACGCUUAAAUGUUUACGAAGGCCAAAAACUACUCUUUGCAACUAUGAAAAAACAAAGAUACAGCAAGUCUAAUAUUUUGGUGUAUCAUAUCUGCAAGUUGUCAUAAGAAAAAAAAUUACGUGCGUGCAACGAAUUAUAACUCCAAAUGCUAAACAAUUAAGCUUUUUCCUCAGCUUCUACAUCUUUGUCUCUAUUGUAGCCACCACUCUGCACAUGCUUCGUUGCAUCACAGAAAUCAUAAACAAAAAAAGAGGGUUCCACCACACUGGCCUACGGGUCGAGGCGCGGCAAGGACGCGCCAGUUUUUCUAGUUUAUCUCAUAAAACUGGAGACAGCUGACUUCACACCAAUUGAGUACUGAAUCGAUGAAUUGACUCUAGUUUUAAUCGAUGUUACACGAUAUAUGAAGACUUGUUUUCUGCACUUUUGUUACUCAGAUUCAGAUAAAUAGGGACUGUUCAAUUGUUUUCUUUUUCCUAACAGAGAAUGUAUACAGUUUCUGAA